CCCCUCUCAGGGUUGCACCUGGAGAGUUUCCAGUACUCUACCAGUCUGUCUACAGGAGGGAGAGUCAAGCAGAGGUAUACCCAUUACAUUCCUAGCUUGGCCAGUGGCUAGGGAGUGGAAGGCGAUCUGCUACAGGU